rnacentral:rRNA from 1 species
AAUGAACGUUGGCGGCGUGGAUUAGGCAUGCAAGUCGCGCGACAAGGUUUUGUUAGCUUGCUAAUGAGACUGGAGGAGCGGCGAAAGGGAGAGUAACGCGUGGGUAUCUGCCCUGGGGUCCGGGAUAGCAGCGGGAAACUGCUGGUAAUACCGGAUAACAUCCCCGGAUCAAAGGUGUGAUUCCGCCCUGGGAUGGGCCCGCGUCCUAUUAGGUAGUUGGUGGGGUAAUGGCCUACCAAGCCAAAGAUGGGUACCGGGUGUGAGAGCAUGGCCCGGCUCACUGGGACUGAGACACUGCCCAGACAUCUACGGAUGGCUGCAGUCGAGAAUCUUCCGCAAUGGACGAAAGUCUGACGGAGCGACGCCGCGUGCGGGAUGAAGGCCCUCGGGUUGUAAACCGCUGUCAGAGGGGAACAAGUUGUAGGGGGUUCUCCCCCUUCAUUGAGUGAUCCUCAGAGGAAGUACGGGCUAAGUUCGUGCCAGCCGCCGCCGUAACAC